GAUGAAGAACGUAGCGAAAUGCGAUAAGUAAUGUGAAUUGCAGAAUUCAGUGAAUCAUCGAAUCUUUGAACGCACAUUGCGCCCGCCAGUAUUCUGGCGGGCAUGCCUGUUCGAGCGUCAUUUCAACCAUCAAGCCCCAGGCUUGUGUUGGAGCCCUGCGGCUGCCGCAGCCUCCCAAAACCAGUGGCGGGCUCGCUAUCACACCGAGUGCAGUAGUUUACUCUUCGCUCAGGGCGUGUGGCGGGUGCUAGCCGUAAAACCCCCAACUUCUCAAGGUUGACCUCGGAUCAGGUAGGAAUACCCGCUGAACUUAAGCAUAUCAAUAGCGGAGGA
rnacentral:misc_RNA from 1 species